UUAGUACUCCCUCCGUCCGGAAAUACUUGUCGGAGAAAUGGAUGUAUCUAGACAUAUUUUAGUCCUAGAUACAACGAGUUUUAUCCAUUUGUGCGACAAGUAAUUCCGGACGGAGGGAGUAAAAU
rfam:Triticum aestivum genome assembly, contig: Triticum_aestivum_CS42_TGACv1_scaffold_289972_4AL